UGCAGCCUUGUCAAAUUCGAUGCACCCUCCGCAAUGGGUUGCACCGGCCAAAAUGGCUGCUACAGUAACUGUAGUUCAUAGGCCCCACAUUGUCUCAUGAGUGCUGGGGAUAAAUUUGUGCUACAGAUAAUC